UUUAAGGUAUUAUCUCCCAUGAAAAACUUACAUAUGGUGAACUAAUUAAUUUCACUCAAAAGGAAGAAUUAAAAAUCUGUCAAUAUUUAAAAUUGCAAAAACAACUUAAAAAAUAAAUAUAGCAAUGCAGGAAGGAAUUGAGAUCAUUUUGCCGACAAUUUGACAUUAGAAGUGAGUCUUCUUCCUUAAAAACAAGUUGUCCUGUAAAAUCAAUAAAUAGAAGAAAGAAUAUGUCAGAAUAUUAUAAAAAGCCAAAA
rnacentral:lncRNA from 1 species